GUCGAGAAUCUUUCGCAAUGGGCGAAAGCCUGACGAAGCGACGCUGUGUGGACGAUGAAGGCCUUCGGGUUGUAAAGUCCUUUCGCGCAAGAACAAGAGAGAGUAACUAAUACCUACUCGAUUUGAGGGUACUGCGUAAAGAAGCACCGGCUAACUCCGUGCCAGCAGCUGCGGUAAUACGGAGGGUGCAAGCAUUAAUCGGAUUUACUGGGCGUAAAGGGCGCGUAGGCGGGCAAGCAAGUCUCAUGUGAAAUUCCGGAGCUCAACUCCGGAGCUGCAUGGGAAACUGCAUGUCUAUAGAGGGAUGGCGGAGAAAAUGGAAUUCCACGUGUAGCGGUGAAAUGCGUAGAUAUGUGGAAGAACACCAGUGGCGAAAGCGGUUUUCUAGCUAUUACCUGACGCUGAGGCGCGAGAGCAUGGGGAGCAAACAGGAUUAGAUACCCGUGUAGUCC
rnacentral:rRNA from 1 species